rnacentral:rRNA from 1 species
AACGAACGCUGGCGGCGCGCCUAACACAUGCAAGUCGAACGAGAAUCCGGGGCAACCCGGUAGUAAAGUGGCAAACGGGUGAGGAAUACAUGGGUAACCUACCCUUGAGAAGGGAAUAACCCGCCGAAAGGUGAGCUAAUACCCUAUACGCUAUCUUUUUUUCGAAAGGAAUAGGAAAGACCGGGUCGGAGGACCUGGUACUCAAGGAGGGGCGUCAUGUCCUAUCAGCUUGUUGGUGGGGUAACGGGCCUACCAAGGCUACGACGGGUAGCUGGUCGUGAGAGGAUGAUCAGCCACACUGGCACUGAGAUACGGGCCAGACUCCUACGGGAGGCAGCAGUGAGGAAUAUUGCGCAAUGGGCGAAAGCCUGACGCAGCGACGCCGCGUGGGGGAGUGAAGGUUUUC